rnacentral:rRNA from 1 species
AUUGAACGCUGGCGGAAUGCUUUACACAUGCAAGUCGAACGGUAGAGGGGGCAACCCCUUGAGAGUGGCGAACGGGUGAGUAAUAUAUCGGAACGUGCCCAGUCGUGGGGAUAACGUAGCGAAAGUUACGCUAAUACCGCAUACGAUCUAAGGAUGAAAGCGGGGGACUCGCAAGAGCCUCGCGCGAUUGGAGCGGCCGAUAUCAGAUUAGGUAGUUGGUGGGGUAAAGGCUCACCAAGCCAACGAUCUGUAGCUGGUCUGAGAGGACGACCAGCCACACUGGAACUGAGACACGGUCCAGACUCCUACGGGAGGCAGCAGUGGGGAAUUUUGGGACAAUGGGCGCAAGCCUGACCCAGCAAUGCCGCGUGCAGGGAUGAAGGCCUUCGGUU